UCUCCCCGACGGUACUUUCCCUCUGCAGACCUCUCCUUUCUUCACGCCUCUCCUCUCCCUUCCUUCCGUAAAUUCAAAAUUUCAGGUUCCCUCGUCUUCGCUCUCUCCGAUGCUCGCUCGCUCUCUCCGACGCUCGUGCUCGUGCUAUAUUUGGGCCGACGCUGGCCAGGCUCCUGCUCUCGUCGACGUCCGCCGCAAGCUCGCUCGAACUCACCUCCAACUUCACCGUCACUCUCGCCCUCUCCCUCCCUCGAUCUCCCCCGCCCCGCGCUGCCGUUCCGAGAACUCGAACCCUCCGAAGUUGGUGUUCCGGAGGACGGUCUCCGCAACCAGCGACGCGGUCGAGGGAGCUGAGAAGGAGGUCGCGGUGGAGUAGUCGAGGGACUUGAUGUCGUCGCGGCGAAGCUUGAGCUUGGGGCUCUUGACGCGGACGGUGAGGGCGAACCCGGGGAAGGCGGCACGGAGGAUGACGAUCGGGGCGAGGGCGUAGACGAAGCACUUGUUGCUGCUGCGCUUCUGGUUGCGGCUAGGCGGCGGCUUGGCGAAGAGGGCGAGCUCCACUUCGUCGCUCCGGAGGCGAGGUCCGGAGGGCGCGAUUGGGCUGACACCUCACCCUGAUGCUAGGAAGAGACUGUUUGGCACUGAGAUCACAAAUCAACCUUUAAAGAGAAGUAAGGUGGAUUCUUCAAACAAUACAAAAUCAUGUGACCCAGUAAAAAAGGUGUUUUUGUCAAACAAGAUCCAGAAAACAACUACGACAGGUGUGAACAAGAGUGCCAAUCAGACAAUGGCUCGAGGGAUUACGUAUAUGGCCCAUUUGCUCCUGUGUAUUUGCCCAGAGCAGUAAAUUCUGUACCAAAGUCUGAAGCAGGAUUAUGACUGGGAAACACUUGCAUCUACUCAUCGCCCUCUGUGCCAUAAUCAAGCUUUGAGGGACCUCUUUGCACAUUACAUGGAGGCAUGGAAGUCAUGGUACACUGAAGUUGCUGGGAACAUAAAGAUACCACAAGUGUCCAGAUCACUUGGUUCCUUACAAGUUGAUCGAGUACAGAGGAAUACAGAUGUUCAACCAUUUGUCCGGGGGUUUGUUUUUAGUUUCGGCUCUUUGAUACUGCUCCCUUAGAAGAGGAUAACGUAUGUGGCUUCUUGUUGGAUCACGUUCUCGAUGUUCCGACUGUAUAGUCAAAAAUACGCUGUUUCUAACCCAUUGAAUGAACAAAUGCCAGUGUGCAGUUACUGAAUGAAUUGAUCAAUUUUAUAGC